AUUGAACGCUGGCGGCAUGCCUUACACAUGCAAGUCGAACGGCAGCACGGGUGCUUGCACCUGGUGGCGAGUGGCGAACGGGUGAGUAAUACAUCGGAACAUGUCCUGUAGUGGGGGAUAGCCCGGCGAAAGCCGGAUUAAUACCGCAUACGAUCUACGGAUGAAAGCGGGGGACCUUCGGGCCUCGCGCUAUAGGGUUGGCCGAUGGCUGAUUAGCUAGUUGGUGGGGUAAAGGCCUACCAAGGCGACGAUCAGUAGCUGGUCUGAGAGGACGACCAGCCACACUGGGACUGAGACACGGCCCAGACUCCUACGGGAGGCAGCAGUGGGGAAUUUUGGACAAUGGGCUAAAGCCUGAUCCAGCAAUGCCGCGUGUGUGAAGAAGGCCUUCGGGUUGUAAAGCACUUUUGUCCGGAAAGAAAUCCUUGGCCCUAAUACGGUCGGGGGAUGACGGUACCGGAAGAAUAAGCACCGGCUAACUACGUG
rnacentral:rRNA from 1 species